rnacentral:rRNA from 1 species
GUGAACGCUGGCGGUAGGCCUAACACAUGCAAGUCGAACGGCAGCACAGUAAGAGCUUGCUCUUACGGGUGGCGAGUGGCGGACGGGUGAGGAAUACAUCGGAAUCUACUUUUUCGUGGGGGAUAACGUAGGGAAACUUACGCUAAUACCGCAUACGACCUACGGGUGAAAGCAGGGGAUCUUCGGACCUUGCGCGAGUGAAUGAGCCGAUGUCGGAUUAGCUAGUUGGCGGGGUAAAGGCCCACCAAGGCGACGAUCCGUAGCUGGUCUGAGAGGAUGAUCAGCCACACUGGAACUGAGACACGGUCCAGACUCCUACGGGAGGCAGCAGUGGGGAAUAUUGGACAAUGGGCGCAAGCCUGAUCCAGCCAUACCGCGUGGGUGAAGAAGGCCUUCGGGUUGUAAAGCCCUUUUGUUGGGAAAGAAAAGCAGCAGGUUAAUACCCCGCUGUUCUGACGGUACCCAAAGAAUAAGCACCGGCUAACUUCGUG